rnacentral:lncRNA from 1 species
CUGUUUCCUGGGCUCAGUGGCGUUGCAAUUCAUGGUGAUUCACAGCUGUUCAUGUUCUUUUCUUCAUAGUUGCAUGUCCUAUUAUCAAUUUGUCUAAUCCAACAUGAGAUAGCAAGCUAGCUAAUGAGCUUGUAGGAGCUAGCUUCAGCCAGACACUUUGCUUACUACUAUGUAACAUACAGCACAUAAAGUCACGGCUGAUAGCUGACCGGAGUGGACUUUAUAAAACAACACACACUUAUAAUUAUAAGGUAGAAGAACAGCUCAUCUUGAAUGAGGACUAGGAGAACGCAGGCAGCUUAAAAGGACCUGAUCUAACCUGGCACAAACCAUUCAUAUCUUCAAACAGGACCCAUAAAUCUUGGGCGCUGAGCCUCGCGGAGCAUCCUUCAGUCUCCCGGUGAACGACCCAGAGGAAGCCUGGACACGUGUUAACAAUCGGUGACAGCCCAGGUUGGCUGAGGAAUGCAGUACUGAAUGAACUGGGAAGGAUGCGAGGAUCUACAUGUAGGAGAUGCUCCCUAGACCCCAUACUUCACCUAGCCUUAACCAGAGGUGAAUCCUGCCUACUGAGCACCCAAACAGGACACGGCAAGCCCAUUACCUGCCUGUCCUCCCCUGUCUCCUCAUCCGAUUGGUCUGGAAGAUCCACAGUACACUGCAGUCUGGUUCUCCUCAGAGUGGCAGUCCUUCCCUUUAUUAUGUGGACAUGGGUUCAAAGGGGCUGUGUGUAUCAGUGGAUGGAGAAGCGAUCUUAACCUCGCCCUGCAGCAGACAGUUAUGACACCCAGCAGGAGAGAGAGGGAAACAGGGACAGAGACGGAGAGGGCUGAGGACUGACUGAUGAGAGGAAGAGAGAAUCAACAUCACCUCUAUAUCCAGUCCUACUGGGUGAAGCUCUAUGAAGAUGCUGUCUGAGUGUGGCAGCAGUGUGUGGAGCUCCCUGUUGAUAUGGAGCUGGCGCUGUGAGCUGACAGUGGGGGAGAGAUGCCAGCGCCGGCGAUUAGCAUUAGCUUCCAGGGGGUGCCGCAAUGGCUGCUGGGAGAUUCCAUCAGAGGCACAAACCUGUCGCUUCGCCGUAAUGUGACAGCCCCCUGUGGCACAGCACAGCACAGUAAGAAGAGUGAAGAGUGAGCCUCAGCAUCUGCCGGCUGGAGAAGGAGGAGCGGUGGAGGUUUUCCUAGGGUUAAGAUGCUUCUGGUCGGCCUGAUAUGACGUUCACGUCUGGAUGCUCUGACCACUGCCUCUCACUGCCAGUCAGCCUUCCAGUCCUGUGGUCAUCCAGACCUUCAAACUCCUCUUCCUCAUCCUCUUUCUCCUUCCAGUCUGUCAACUCUGUGAAGAGUAGAGUUCAGUCAAGCCUUGUCUUAAACCAACUCUGUUGGCCCUUUUGUUUAACACUGGCUAGCCAGUGGCUAUACCAACUCUGUGGCACUGUGUGGUAAUACAGCUGCAGCUGGUCAGUUUGGAUCAGAUUACUCCCUGGACUGUGGGAGAUCAACACAACAGACAGGGAUUAACCAGUAGGAGGCUCUCUCUUCUAUGGACAACCCAAUGCUAUAACAGUGAGGUCAAGAGAGGAUUUCUACCAAUAUGUGAUUACUGGCUGUCCUGUUUCCAUAUGAGAGUUGAGCAAACAUGCACAGAAUAUAAGUAUACGAAUAAAUAGCAUGA